rnacentral:rRNA from 1 species
UACGUAGGCAGCAAGCGUUGUUCGGAGUUACUGGGCGUAAAGGGUGUGUAGGCGGUUUUUUAAGUUUGGUGUGAAAUCUCCCGGCUCAACCGGGGGGGGGCGCCGAAUACUGAAUGACUUCGAGUGCGGGAGAGGAAAGUGGAAUUCCUGGUGUAGCGGUGAAAUGCGUAGAUAUCAGGAGGAACACCGGUGGUGUAGACGGCUUUCUGGACCGUAACUGACGCUGAGACACGAAAGCGUGGGUAGCAAACAGG